AAUUAAUUUAAAAAAGUGUUGACAUUCCUUACAAUAAUUGCUAUGAUAUAAAGGUAGCUGAUUUUAAAUAACAUUAUCGCGGGAUGGAGCAGUUCGG
rnacentral:ncRNA from 1 species